UCCAAUGUCGUCGCCAGGAUGGCGUCGCUGGGGCAGGCCGCCUACGCCGAAGCGGCAGUCGUCGUCGAGCAGACCGUCGGCUCCAUCAGAACAGUAAGGUUCCACUCUACAAUUCAGAGCAUUGCGACGAAUUUUGCAACAAUGACAAGAAUGUGGAACACAAAUCACCACAGGUUGCAUCUUUCACCGGCGAGAAGAAAGCGGUGGAGAAGUACAACAACUCGCUUAAGUGCGCUUACAGUUCCGGUGUCCGGGAAGGCCUAGUCGCUGCCAUCGGCAUGGGCACCGUCAUGAUGCUCCUGUUCUGCGGCUACUCCCUGGGGGUAUGGUAUGGAGCCAAGCUGAUCCUAGAGAAGGGAUACACCGGUGCCCAGGUCAUGAAUGUCAUCUUCGCGGUGCUUACCGGCUCGCUGUAAGUUCUCUGCGCCUUCCUGAUCAGCAAUUCAGUUGUAGCAAUCUCAGUUUCAUGAUUGACAGUUACUCUUAUUAUCAGGAAAGAGAAGGAAUGUUUAGGUUUAGCAACCUUCAACAGUUGCCAUUUCAUUUAGACCGGAUAAGGCAAUCUUAGCCAUCCAUUAUGGAUUUCGUGCCGAUUUUGGCAAGUGUUUGACAGGGAUAAGCAAUGUUGGCUUUCGUGCGCAAACUGCUAACCCAACUAUGUUUGUAGGGUCUUAUUUAGUUGGCAGCAGCUAACCAAGCGCAUAUCAAAGUCAUUGCUGUCUUAACUAUCAGGAAAGAGAAGGAAGGUUUAACAACCUUCAAAAGGUUGAUGUUUCAUUUAGGGGGGACUGAUAAAGCAAUCUUAGCCAUCUAUUUUGGAUUUUGUGCUUAUUUUGGCAAGUGUUCGACAGUGAUAUGCAACAUUAGGUUUCUUGUGCAAACUGCUAACCCAACUAUGCGUGUAGGGUCGGUCUUAUAUAGUUGGCAGCAGCUAACCAAGUCCAUAUCCAAGUCAUUGUUGUCUUGACUUCACAGUUCACAGCAAUCAUAGCCAGUCAGUGUAGCACGAAACAAACAUUUGAUAAAUUUGUAUGGGUUUUUGCAAUCAUGUUCCCACCAACUCUUUCAUUGUUUUAUGGAAGACCAACUAUUCUUUGAUUUCAUCAGCUGCUGCCUGAAAAGAAUUACUCAUUAGAUAAAUUUCAGCAGUUGAAAUUUGCAGUAUUACUCAAUCGUCUACUGCUAUAUUUUUGUACCACCGACCAAUUUUCCCUGUUCAUAUAUGUGAUUGAACCCAUUAAACUGAAACCCAUUAGUUUGAGAAGCUGAGACUUUUCUGUUGUGUUUAUCAGAGCUCUAGGACAGGCAUCACCAAGCAUGAAAGCAUUUGCAGGAGGACAGGCUGCAGCAUACAAGAUGUUUGAAACAAUCAACAGGGAGCCCGAAAUCGAUGCAUACAGCACAGAGGGUAGGAUGCUAGACGAUAUUCAGGGGGAUAUCGAGUUCAGAGAUGUUCACUUCUCUUACCCAACAAGGCCCAAUGAGCAAAUAUUCAGAGGUUUCUCCCUUUCCAUACAGAGUGCCAAAACCGUUGCAUUGGUUGGCCAGAGUGGGAGUGGAAAAUCAACAGUUAUCAGCUUGAUCGAACGGUUUUAUGAUCCUCAGCUCGGAGAAGUUCUAAUAGAUGGAGUGAAUAUCAAGGAGUUGCAGUUAAAGUGGAUCAGAAGUAAAAUUGGCUUGGUGAGCCAGGAGCCGGCCCUGUUUGCAGCUAGCAUAAGAGAUAACAUAGCUUAUGGUAAGGACAAUGCGACAGAUCAGGAAAUCAGAGCUGCGGCUGAGCUUGCUAACGCCUCCAAAUUCAUUGAUAAAUUACCCCAGGUUAGAAGACCGACAAACCUUUGAAUUUGCAUUAACUGGUAAUUAGUUGUAAAUAGAUGAAGCAGGACCCAGGACCUAGGCAAUUCUAUACACUGAAGAAAGAACUAGAUGUUAGACUAUUCUGCCUCAUAUAUUGAAUCUCUGCUGUUUGUGACAUUCCUUAGGGUUUCACUACUUCGGUUGGUGAACAUGGAACACAACUAUCUGGUGGACAAAAGCAAAGGAUUGCCAUUGCCAGAGCGAUUCUCAAAGAUCCAAGAAUCCUGCUAUUGGACGAAGCGACAAGCGCUUUGGACACUGAAUCUGAAAGGAUUGUGCAGGAGGCUCUUGAUAGGGUCAUGACCAAUCGGACCACUGUCAUUGUUGCACACCGUUUGACUACUGUAAGGAAUGCCGAUACAAUUGCUGUCAUCUGCCGAGGAUCAAUAGUUGAAAAAGGUAUUAUUCUGAAACAUUGGCAUCUGUGAUUCUAAAUAAUCAUAUAGUACCUCUUACACAUGUUAUAUGUCAGCAAAUGCUCACUAGCUGAAACAUUUGACAAUCACCAGGUCCGCACCAUGACCUUUUAAGGGACCCAGAAGGAGCUUACAGCCAACUGAUACGUCUACAGGAAACAAGUCGUGCUUCUGAGGGUGCAAGCAAUCAAAACAAGUCGGGUAGGAAGAGUGAUACUGGGAUUUGGUUAGGCAAACAGUCAUUGGCAAAUCAGUCAAGUAGCCAAAGGUCAUCUCGGGACAACAGUAGCCAUCACUCAUUCUCAGUGCCAUUCGGCAUACCUCAUGAAAUUGAUGUUCAGGUUGGCUGCUCGAAGAAUAUAACUGAUGAAAUACAACAGGAAGUGCCCCUCAGUCGCCUGGCAUCCCUUAACAAACCAGAGGUCCCGGUGCUCAUACUUGGUUCUGUUGCUUCUGCUAUCAGCGGAGUGAUAUUCCCGAUCUUUGCAAUACUUUUGUCGAAUGUGAUCAAAGCAUUCUAUGAGCCCCCACAAAUGCUAAAGAAGGAUGCUGCGUUUUGGUCAUCCAUGUUCUUGAUAUUUGGUGCAGUCUACUUCUUGUCGCUCCCUGUCGGCUCAUACUUUUUCUCAGUGGCUGGGUGCAAGCUCAUCAGAAGGAUCAGACUAAUGACUUUUGAGAAGGUUGUCAAUAUGGAGAUUGGAUGGUUUGAUGACCCACAUAACUCAAGUGGCUCAAUUGGGUCAAGGCUAUCGUCAGAUGCAGCAAAAGUUAGAGGGCUUGUGGGUGAUACACUUCAACUGGUUGUGCAGAACACUUCAACAUUAGUUGCUGGCCUGGUAAUUGCUUUCGUAUCAAACUGGGAGCUAUCUCUUAUCAUUUUGGCGUUGAUACCACUCAUCGGCCUGAAUGGAUGGAUCCAGAUGAAAUUUAUCCAGGGAUUCAGUGCAGAUGCAAAGGUAUAUGCCAGAAAUCAUAAAAUUGUUGAUUUAUUUUCUUUGUCAAUCUAUUGUGCAAUCUCUAUGUCAAUCAGAAUUAGAUAGUUACAAAUACUUCUGUUCUGUUGGGUCACUGAUUCUCAAAUAUGAUUGUAGAUGAUGUACGAGGAGGCAAGUCAAGUGGCAAAUGAUGCAGUAAGUAGCAUAAGGACAGUGGCCUCAUUUUCAGCUGAAGAGAAGGUGAUGGAUUUGUACAACAAAAAGUGCGAAGGACCGCUACAAACAGGAAUCAGGACAGGAAUAAUAAGUGGUAUUGGUUUUGGAGUUUCCUUCUUUUUGCUGUUUGGAGUCUACGGAGCAAGCUUCUAUGCUGGUGCUCGGCUUGUCGAGGAUAAGAAAACAACAUUUCCCAAAGUUUUCAGGGUAUGUCGAAUGUUCAUUAUGAGUUCUUUACAUAUCUCAGUAUUCAAUCAUAAGUAAGCACUUACAUUUCAAUGCACACUGAUCAAUCAUACAUUGCCACAUAAAUUCAGACCAGAACGUGCCUAGUAUUUUGACAACAGUUAAAAGGUCGUGUCUGGUUAAUUGUUACUUCGGAGUUACUAAAGAUUAUUGUACCUUUGGCAUGUCAAAAUGCAGGUGUUUCUUGCUCUUACAAUGGCAGCAAUCGGGGUAUCGCACACUAGCACCCUCACUUCAGAUUCCUCCAGAGCAAGAUCAGCCGUAUCUUCUAUAUUCGCCAUCGUGGAUCGUAAAUCGAUGAUUGACCCAAGUGAUGACGCCGGGGUGAAUGUAGAACCACUAAGGGGCGAUAUCGAGUUUCGGCACGUGAGGUUCAGAUACCCGACCCGCCCUGACAUUCAGAUCUUCGAGGACCUAUGCUUGACAAUCCAGUCAGGAAAGGUACCAACCUCAACCCAACCCAGGUUUAACCGAUCAGCAAACAAUGUACAGGUUUGCCGAACUGAACCUAACUAACUAUCUGCCCCGUGAACCUGCCUCUCAGACUGUCGCGCUUGUCGGGGAGAGCGGCAGCGGCAAAUCGACGGCGAUAUCACUGCUGCAGAGAUUCUACGACCCUGACGCAGGCCACAUACUUCUGGACGGGGUGGACAUCCAGAAGUUCCAGGUGAGGUGGCUGAGGCAGCAGAUGGGGCUGGUGAGCCAAGAGCCGGCCCUCUUCAACGACACGAUCCGAGCGAACAUUGCCUACGGAAAGGAAGGGGAGGCCACGGAAUCAGACAUCGUGUCCGCCGCGCAACUCGCGAAUGCCCACAAGUUCAUCAGCUCACUCCAUAAGGUGAGGGAUUCAUUCUUCCAUGCACAGGUCGAUGUAUAGCUGCAUUUGAUGUCCGUAAUAUCUCGUCGUGGAUUUGUCGAUCAUACCUGGGAUUGCUUGCAGGGGUACGACACGGUGGUCGGGGAGCGCGGCGCUCAGCUGUCGGGAGGGCAGAAGCAGCGGGUGGCGAUCGCGCGGGCCGUGGCCAAGGACCCCAGGAUCCUGC
rnacentral:lncRNA from 1 species